rnacentral:rRNA from 1 species
UACGAAGGGGGCUAGCGUUGCUCGGAAUUACUGGGCGUAAAGCGUACGUAGGCGGCUUUCUAAGUCGGGGGUGAAAUCCUGGAGCUCAACUCCAGAACUGCCUUCGAUACUGGAAAGCUCGAGUCCGGUAGAGGUGAGUGGAACUGCGAGUGUAGAGGUGAAAUUCGUAGAUAUUCGCAAGAACACCAGUGGCGAAGGCGGCUCACUGGCCCGGUACUGACGCUGAGGUGCGAAAGCGUGGGGAGCGAACAGG